AGACCUCCACUUCCUGUCCCCGCGGCUCUGUGUCCCCUGCUAGCCUUUGGCCGUGUGACCCGCAGGCACCGGGAGAUCCAGAAGUGAAACGUCAGGCUCUCUGGAGGCCAGGAGAUGCCAUUAGGAAAACAGAGAAGGCAGCCAUGUCCCUACAAGCCAGAAACUUUCCAUUUCCAAUAACUGGAUAAAUCAUUGAAUUCAGCAUCUUGGGGUCAGCAUGAAGAAGGGAGUGGUCAAAGGGACUUCAGCUUCAUUUGGGCCAUUUUCCUGAUGUGGUUGUUGUGUGAUUUGUCCAGAGAAUCUUUCCUAAGAGGAAAUCCCAGAGAAGCAGGAGAAAGAGAAAGGAAUGGCUGGUGCUCAGACACUGUUGACGUUCAGGGAUGUGGCCAUAGAAUUCUCCCUGGAGGAGUGGAAAUGCCUGGAUCUUGCUCAGCAGAAUUUGUACAGGGAUGUGAUGUUGGAGAACUACAGAAACUUGUUCUCCAUUGGUCUCACUGUCUCUAAGCCAGGCCUGAUCACCUGCCUGGAGCAAAGAAAAGAGCCCUGGAAUGUGAAGAGACAGGAGGCAGUAGACGGACA
rnacentral:sRNA from 1 species